UACGUAGGGUGCAAGCGUUGUCCGGAAUCAUUGGGCGUAAAGAGCGUGUAGGCGGCCCGAUUAGUCCGCUGUGAAAGUCCAGGGCUCAACCCUGGAAUGCCGGUGGAUACUGUCGGGCUAGAGUCCGGAAGGGGCGAGUGGAAUUCCUGGUGUAGCGGUGAAAUGCGCAGGUAUCAGGAGGAACACCGGUGGCGAAGGCGGGUCUCUGGGCCGUUACUGGACGCUGAGGAGCGAAAGCGUGGGGAGCGAACAGG
rnacentral:rRNA from 1 species